AGUUUAGCUUUUGGAAGAAAAAUGCAGAAUUUGUCCUCGCUCGCAAGGUGUUCGAUGAAAUGUCCCAACCGAAUUCCUUUUGUGGCGAAGUUAGCGGUGAGAGAGGAAUUUGAUUUAGUUGAUGUUAACGGCUCAAUAUACUUAAUCCUGACACUAGGAAUUUGAUUCAUUGGCCAAACGGCCAGGUUCUGAGUGGAGAACUAGACAAUGGGAAUGGAGACGAAAUUGUGUAUAAUUGGAGGGAACAAACAUCUACUCCGGGAUGUCUUUCAACACAGCUUAGAACAUGUUUGAUUAAACAAUUUACAUACACAGAAUGUGGUCUUCAAUUUGCUGAAUAUAUUUUGAGGAAUUCAAAGGUACUGGACACAAUGUCAAUCAAGAGUGCUUCAUUCAUAAAUGAAAAUGUCAAGCACCAAAUGUUAAUGAUAUUAGCUUCGGAGGAAUUCAAAGGGGCUGUUUUGACAAAGCCGACUGAUCUAGGAGCAGUUUGAGAUUGAUACAACGCUGACAGUUUGGCUGCACCCAAGCCUCUUAUCAAACUGCUGGAUCUGAUGGAAAAUUAGUCGAUCGGGAAGCGCGUCUAACUGCAAUCUCUUCAAGCGGAGCAAAGGUACUGAAUUGGAAUGGAUUUAAAUGUCUGAAACUCGCUUGUAUUAGCGCUGAACUGGGGUGCAUCUAAUUUGAAUUGGGAUCGCAUCUCUCGCACUAACCGUAAUAAUAGGUAUGCUUUAAUGUGAACAUAGUUGGAUGAGGCCAUAGGUUCUGUUUGCUAUUUUGAACUAGCCAUACCUCCUGUUUCUUCCUGAUUUUUUUAUAUGGUGCAACAUUGUCUCCUUUUUUUUUUGUCUCAAUUCUGAAAAGAAUUGGUUUGAAUUGUGUUUGAAUG